UCAUGGACUACCUCCGCCUGGGGAAAAGC
rnacentral:sRNA from 1 species